rnacentral:misc_RNA from 1 species
GCCACCGAUCCUCGCUCUCUUCCACUCGUUUUAUUAUCUCUCCAAGCAAUUCAGGCAACAUGUUCGCCCAGCCAUCCACAGGGUCCGACUCGGCCCACCACUCCCCGGAAACAUCGCAGCCGAGACGGCCGGACACCACCGCUCCUCCGCCGUCGUGUUUAUGAUUGUUUACAGACCUGAACGACUUGGAACUCCUUCGAGAGAAAAUCGNNNNNNNNCCGCGAAGACAUUAGAGUGGUAAAUUUCCCCUUCUUUUUUUUUCUCCUCCGAAAGCAAGAG